rnacentral:rRNA from 1 species
UGGGGAAUAUUGGACAAUGGGCGAAAGCCUGAUCCAGCCAUGCUGCGUGUGUGAAGAAGGUCUUCGGAUUGUAAAGCACUUUAAGUUGGGAGGAAGGGCAGUAAGCGAAUACCUUGCUGUUUUGACGUUACCGACAGAAUAAGCACCGGCUAACUCUGUGCCAGCAGCCGCGGUAAUACAGAGGGUGCAAGCGUUAAUCGGAAUUACUGGGCGUAAAGCGCGCGUAGGUGGUUCGUUAAGUUGAAUGUGAAAGCCCCGGGCUCAACCGGGAAACUGCAUGAAAAACUGGCGAGCUAGAGUAGGGCAGAGGGGGGUGGAAUUUCCUGUGUAGCGGUGAAAUGCGUAGAUAUAGGAAGGAACACCAGUGGCGAAGGCGACCACCUGGGCUCAUACUGACACUGAGGUGCGAAAGCGUGGGGAGCAAACAGG